rnacentral:rRNA from 1 species
GGACGAACGCUGGCGGCGUGCUUAACACAUGCAAGUCAAGGGGGCCCAGCAAUGGGCAACCGGCGAACGGGUGCGUAACACGUGAGCAACCUACCGAACUGUGGGGGAUAGCCGGCCUAACGGCCGAGUAAUACCGCAUACGCUCUCAGAGAGGCAUUUCUUUGAGAGGAAACCUACGGGACAGAUCGAGGGGCUCGCGGCCUAUCAGCUAGUUGGCGAGGUAACGGCUCACCAAGGCAACGACGGGUAGCUGGUCUGAGAGGAUGGCCAGCCACAUUGGGACUGAGAUACGGCCCAGACUCCUACGGGAGGCAGCAGUGGGGAAUCUUGCGCAAUGAUCGCAAGACUGAGGCAGCAACGCCGCGUGCGCGAUGAAGGCC